ACUCCUACGGGAGGCAGCAGUGGGGAAUCUUGGACAAUGGGCGCAAGCCUGAUCCAGCCAUGCCGCGUGAGUGAUGAAGGCCUUAGGGUCGUAAAGCUCUUUCGCCAGGGAUGAUAAUGACAGUACCUGGUAAAGAAACCCCGGCUAACUCCGUGCCAGCAGCCGCGGUAAUACGGAGGGGGUUAGCGUUGUUCGGAAUUACUGGGGCGUAAAGCGCGCGUAGGCGGAUCGGAAAGUUGGGGGUGAAAUCCCGGGGGCUCAACCCCGGAACUGCCUCCAAAACUAUCGGUCUAGAGUUCGAGAGAGGUGAGUGGAAUUCCGAGUGUAGAGGUGAAAUUCGUAGAUAUUCGGAGGAACACCAGUGGCGAAGGCGGCUCACUGGCUCGAUACUGACGCUGAGGUGCGAAAGUGUGGGGAGCAAACAGGAUUAGAUACCCUGGUAGGAUAGCG
rnacentral:rRNA from 1 species